CGACGCGACCAAAAUGCGACGUAUAACCUAGGUCUAAAACAUGUAGUCUUGUUCUCUUCGGAAAUUAAAAUGUGCAGUCUAAUCAUGCAUGGGAGAGAUAGGAAAACUGUAGUUAACCUCGUGCUGUCGGACACAGGGGAUUGUAAAAUGAGGCCAGUCAUAAGUUUGCGGCAAAUUAGGCUGGAAAUGGAAUUCCCUUGAGGUUAAUUCGCACUGGGGCAAGCACAAUAGCGACGACAUUGUCAAUGGUGAAUGGCUUAAGGAUAGCGUCACGGACUUCGAAAAUUAAGGCGUGUAAAAAUGAACUGAACUAAACAUUUACAUUUAUACAUGACACAAAUGACAUCGUCGAACGAUCGUCGAACGUUAGUCACUGACAUCUUUGCUAAUUUGCUGUGAUGUUGAAAAGAGUGCAUGUACUAUGAGUCUAUGAUUACUGUCUCAGUAUAAUAUCGCACCACAGAUCCAUUGUUGUUUAGUGGAAUACACAUCCAAUAAAACAUUUGUUUGAUUAAAACAUAUAUACGCGAAGUAUACUCGGUGUCAGGCGGCUGGCUGACCUGGAGGGUUUAACGAGGAGAAAUGGUAAUGUGGAAAUUGCUCUUGGUCACCAAUAUUACGAGAAAGUUAUUGUAGGUGCAUGGAGGACUAUAUGAGACCACGAGGGGCAGCAAUAGUGAGCAACAACGACGAUGGUAAAUAAAGUGCUCAAAAGUCAAAAUUGCCAUAAAAUUUUGCUUGUGCUAAGUGUGGAG